rnacentral:rRNA from 1 species
UACAGAGGGGGCAAGCGUUGUUCGGAAUUACUGGGCGUAAAGGGCGCGUAGGCGGCCUUCUAAGUCGAACGUGAAAUCCCCGGGCUCAACCUGGGAACUGCAUUUGUGACUGCAUGGCUAGAGUACGGUAGAGGGGGAUGGAAUUCCGCGUGUAGCAGUGAAAUGCGUAGAUAUCGGGAGGAACACCAGUGGCGAAGGCGACUACCUGGCCUGUUUCUUGACGCUGAGGCGCGAAAGCUAGGGGAGCAAACGGG